GCGCCUGUAGCUCAACAGGAUAGAGCAACGGACUUCUAAUCCGUAGGUUGGGAGUUCGAGUCUCCCCAGGCGCGCCA
rnacentral:tRNA from 1 species